rnacentral:rRNA from 1 species
AGCGAACGCUGGCGGCAGGCCUAACACAUGCAAAUCGAGCGCCGUAGCAAUACGGAGCGGCAGACGGGAGAGUAACACGUGGGAACGUACCCUUUGGUUCGGAACAACCCAGGGAAACUUGGGCUAAUACCGAAUACGCCCUCACGGGGAAAGAUAUAUCGCCGAAGGAUCGGCCCGCGUCUGAUUAGCUAGUUGGUGGGGUAAUGGCCCACCAAGGCGACGAUCAGUAGCUGGUCUGAGAGGAUGAUCAGCCUCACCGGGACUGAGACACGGCCCAGACUCCUACGGGAGGCAGCAGUGGGGAAUAUUGGACAAUGGGCGCAAGCCUGAUCCAGCCAUGCCGCGCGGGUGAUGAAGGCCCUAGGGUUGUAAAGCCCUUUCGGCGGGGAAGAUAAUGACGGUACCCGCAGAAGAAGCCCCGGCUAACUUCGUGCCAGCAGCCGCGGUAA